rnacentral:lncRNA from 1 species
GGGCGUGCCUCUGAGGCUCAGGACCCUCGGGAGACGUGUUUCAUAGCAAAGCUCCAGGGCCCUGGUGUGACGGACAGCAGGGUACAGGGCACAGCUCAGCUCCCCUGCAGUCACGCCAGCCAGCUCUCCGUGCGGUUACCCAACAGCCCCCUGGCUCAGAGCAGCAGAGACCAGCCCUCAGGGCACACUCUGUAGGCCUUUGAGGCAGCUGGAGGGAGCCAAGAUGACAGCAGGAGGCAAUCACAGAGGGCUUCUCGCAAGAGGCAGAGGCUUCCCACCAAGGAUUCCUGAAACGUAGCCUAGGAAACAGCUUGGCCAAAGGGAUUAGCCCCAGUCGUCUCA